CAGUCGUACGCUUCUUUUUCCCCGGAGCUUGCUCCACCGGAAAAAGAAGAGUGGCGAACGGGUGAGUAACACGUGGGUAACCUGCCCAUCAGAAGGGGAUAACACUUGGAAACAGGUGCUAAUACCGUAUAACAAUCGAAACCGCAUGGUUUUGAUUUGAAAGGCGCUUUCGGGUGUCGCUGAUGGAUGGACCCGCGGUGCAUUAGCUAGUUGGUGAGGUAACGGCUCACCAAGGCCACGAUGCAUAGCCGACCUGAGAGGGUGAUCGGCCACAUUGGGACUGAGACACGGCCCAAACUCCUACGGGAGGCAGCAGUAGGGAAUCUUCGGCAAUGGACGAAAGUCUGACCGAGCAACGCCGCGUGAGUGAAGAAGGUUUUCGGAUCGUAAAACUCUGUUGUUAGAGAAGAACAAGGAUGAGAGUAACUGUUCAUCCCUUGACGGUAUCUAACCAGAAAGCCACGGCUAACUACGUGCCAGCAGCCGCGGUAAUACGUAGGUGGCAAGCGUUGUCCGGAUUUAUUGGGCGUAAAGCGAGCGCAGGCGGUUUCUUAAGUCUGAUGUGAAAGCCCCCGGCUCAACCGGGGAGGGUCAUUGGAAACUGGGAGACUUGAGUGCAGAAGAGGAGAGUGGAAUUCCAUGUGUAGCGGUGAAAUGCGUAGAUAUAUGGAGGAACACCAGUGGCGAAGGCGGCUCUCUGGUCUGUAACUGACGCUGAGGCUCGAAAGCGUGGGGAGCAAACAGGAUUAGAUACCCUGGUAGUCCACGCCGUAAACGAUGAGUGCUAAGUGUUGGAGGGUUUCCGCCCUUCAGUGCUGCAGCUAACGCAUUAAGCACUCCGCCUGGGGAGUACGACCGCAAGGUUGAAACUCAAAGGAAUUGACGGGGGCCCGCACAAGCGGUGGAGCAUGUGGUUUAAUUCGAAGCAACGCGAAGAACCUUACCAGGUCUUGACAUCCUUUGACCACUCUAGAGAUAGAGCUUCCCCUUCGGGGGCAAAGUGACAGGUGGUGCAUGGUUGUCGUCAGCUCGUGUCGUGAGAUGUUGGGUUAAGUCCCGCAACGAGCGCAACCCUUAUUGUUAGUUGCCAUCAUUUAGUUGGGCACUCUAGCAAGACUGCCGGUGACAAACCGGAGGAAGGUGGGGAUGACGUCAAAUCAUCAUGCCCCUUAUGACCUGGGCUACACACGUGCUACAAUGGGAAGUACAACGAGUCGCGAAGUCGCGAGGCUAAGCUAAUCUCUUAAAGCUUCUCUCAGUUCGGAUUGUAGGCUGCAACUCGCCUACAUGAAGCCGGAAUCGCUAGUAAUCGCGGAUCAGCACGCCGCGGUGAAUACGUUCCCGGGCCUUGUACACACCGCCCGUCACACCACGAGAGUUUGUAACACCCGAAGUCGGUGAGGUAACCUUUGAGCCAC
rnacentral:rRNA from 1 species